rnacentral:rRNA from 1 species
CCUACGGGAGGCAGCAGUGGGGAAUAUUGGACAAUGGGGGGAACCCUGAUCCAGCCAUGCCGCGUGUGUGAAGAAGGCCCUCGGGUUGUAAAGCACUUUCAGUGAGGAAGAACGCCUGGUGGUUAAUACCCAUCAGGAAAGACAUCACUCACAGAAGAAGCACCGGCUAACUCCGUGCCAGCAGCCGCGGUAAUACGGAGGGUGCGAGCGUUAAUCGGAAUUACUGGGCGUAAAGCGCGCGUAGGUGGCUUGAUAAGCCGGUUGUGAAAGCCCCGGGCUCAACCUGGGAACGGCAUCCGGAACUGUCAAGCUAGAGUGCAGGAUAGGAAGGUAGAAUUCCCGGUGUAGCGGUGAAAUGCGUAGAGAUCGGGAGGAAUACCAGUGGCGAAGGCGGCCUUCUGGACUGACACUGACACUGAGGUGCGAAAGCGUGGGUAGCAAACAGGAUUAGAUACCCUGGUAGUC